rnacentral:rRNA from 1 species
GUGGGGAAUUUUGGACAAUGGGGGCAACCCUGAUCCAGCAAUGCCGCGUGAGUGAAGAAGGCCUUCGGGUUGUAAAGCUCUUUUGUCAGGGAAGAAACGGUGGUUCCUAAUACGGACUACUAAUGACGGUACCUGAAGAAUAAGCACCGGCUAACUACGUGCCAGCAGCCGCGGUAAUACGUAGGGUGCAAGCGUUAAUCGGAAUUACUGGGCGUAAAGCGUGCGCAGGCGGUUAUAUAAGUCAGAUGUGAAAUCCCUGGGCUCAACCUAGGAACUGCAUUUGAGACUGUAUGGCUAGAGUGUGUCAGAGGGGGGUAGAAUUCCACGUGUAGCAGUGAAAUGCGUAGAUAUGUGGAGGAAUACCGAUGGCGAAGGCAGCCCCCUGGGAUAACACUGACGCUCAUGCACGAAAGCGUGGGGAGCAAACAGGAUUAGAUACCCCGGUAGUCC